CCUACGGGAGGCAGCAGUGGGGAAUAUUGCACAAUGGGGGAAACCCUGAUGCAGCGACGCCGCGUGAGUGAAGAAGUAUUUCGGUAUGUAAAGCUCUAUCAGCAGGGAAGAGAAUGACGGUACCUGAGUAAGAAGCCCCGGCUAACUACGUGCCAGCAGCCGCGGUAAUACGUAGGGGGCAAGCGUUAUCCGGAUUUACUGGGUGUAAAGGGAGCGUAGACGGCGAAGAAAGUCUGAAGUGAAAGCCCGCGGCUCAACCGCGGAACUGCUUUGGCAACUUUUUUGCUGGAGUACCGGAGAGGUAAGCGGAAUUCCUAGUGUAGCGGUGAAAUGCGUAGAUAUUAGGAGGAACACCAGUGGCGAAGGCGGCUUACUGGACGGUAACUGACGUUGAGGCACGAAAGCGUGGGUAUCGAACAGGAUUAGAUACCCUGGUAGUC
rnacentral:rRNA from 1 species